UACGUAGGGUGCGAGCGUUAAUCGGAUUUACUGGGCGUAAAGGGCACGCAGGCGGUCUUGCCAGUCAGGGGUGAAAGCCCGGGGCUCAACCCCGGAACUGCCUCUGAUACUGCAAGACUAGAGACUAGGAGAGGGUGGUGGAAUUCCCAGUGUAGAGGUGAAAUUCGUAGAUAUUGGGAGGAACACCAGAGGCGAAGGCGGCCACCUGGACUAGAUCUGACGCUCAGGUGCGAAAGCGUGGGGAGCAAACAGG
rnacentral:rRNA from 1 species